AUUGAACGCUGGCGGCAGGCUUAACACAUGCAAGUCGAGCGGGGGAAGGUAGCUUGCUACCGGACCUAGCGGCGGACGGGUGAGUAAUGCUUAGGAAUCUGCCUAUUAGUGGGGGACAACAUCUCGAAAGGGAUGCUAAUACCGCAUACGUCCUACGGGAGAAAGCAGGGGAUCUUCGGACCUUGCGCUAAUAGAUGGGCCUAAGUCGGAUUAGCUAGUUGGUGGGGGAAAGGCCUACCAAGGCGACGAUCUGUAGCUGGUCUGAGAGGAUGAGCAGCCACACUGGGACUGAGAGACGGCCCAGACUCCUACGGGAGGAAGCAGUGGGGAAUAUUGGACAAUGGGGGGAACCCUGAUCCAGCCAUGCCGCGUGUGUGAAGAAGGCCUUAUGGUUGUAAAGCACUUUAAGCGAGGAGGAGGCUACUUUAGUUAAUACCUAGAGAUAGUGGACGUUACUCGCAGAAUAAGCACCGGCUAACUCUGUGCCAGCCGCCGCGGUAA
rnacentral:rRNA from 1 species